rnacentral:rRNA from 1 species
AUGUACAUUCCUACAACAUAGCAUUAAUGCAUCGGAUCCCAUUAGAAAUUCAUAGUUAAGCAUGCUCAGGAUAGAGUAGUACUAGGAUGGGUGACCACUUGGGAAGUCCUACUAUUUUACAUG